rnacentral:rRNA from 1 species
AAUCCAUAGGUUAAUGAGGCGAACCGGGGGAACUGAAACAUCUAAGUACCCCGAGGAAAAGAAAUCAACCGAGAUUCCCCCAGUAGCGGCGAGCGAACGGGGAGGAGCCCAGAGCCUGAAUCAGCAUGUGUGUUAGUGGAAGCGUCUGGAAAGGCGCGCGAUACAGGGUGACAGCCCCGUACACAAAAGCGCAUGUGCUGUGAGCUCGAUGAGUAGGGCGGGACACGUGGUAUCCUGUCUGAAUAUGGGGGGACCAUCCUCCAAGGCUAAAUACUCCUGACUGACCGAUAGUGAACCAGUACCGUGAGGGAAAGGCGAAAAGAACCCCGGCGAGGGGAGUGAAAAAGAACCUGAAACCGUGUACGUACAAGCAGUGGGAGCACAGGUUUACCUGUGUGACUGCGUACCUUUUGUAUAAUGGGUCAGCGACUUAUAUUCUGUAGCAAGGUUAACCGAAUAGGGGAGCCGGAGGGAAACCGAGUCUUAAUUGGGCGUUAAGUUGCAGGGUAUAGACCCGAAACCCGGUGAUCUAGCCAUGGGCAGGUUGAAGGUUGGGUAACACUAACUGGAGGACCGAACCGACUAAUGUUGAAAAAUUAGCGGAUGACCUGUGGCUGGGGGUGAAAGGCCAAUCAAACCGGGAGAUAGCUGGUUCUCCCCGAAAGCUAUUUAGGUAGCGCCUCGUGAAUUCAUCUCCGGGGGUAGAGCACUGUUUCGGCUAGGGGGCCAUCCCGGCUUACCAACCCGAUGCAAACUGCGAAUACCGGAGAAUGUUAUCACGGGAGACACACGGCGGGUGCUAACGUCCGUCGUGAAGAGGGAAACAACCCAGACCGCCAGCUAAGGUCCCAAAGUCAUGGUUAAGUGGGAAACGAUGUGGGAAGGCCCAGACAGCCAGGAUGUUGGCUUAGAAGCAGCCAUCAUUUAAAGAAAGCGUAAUAGCUCACUGGUCGAGUCGGCCUGCGCGGAAGAUGUAACGGGGCUAAACCAUGCACCGAAGCUGCGGCAGCGACACUG